CCUCAGCUAACGGCGAGUGGCCCGUCGAGCCGCCGGCACCCUGGCCUGACCCAGCCACCAUCGCCGAUAUGGCAAUCUCUCAUUGCUUUAGGUUCCUCUCGGCUCCCUCCCUCUCCAUCUCCUGAACUCAGCUGCAAAAUCUCAGACAUUCUGUACCCAGAACUCAACUCGCUGCACCUUGAGGCUUCAACAAAGACCGAAGCACUGUGACCCCAAGCAAACUCAGCAAUCACUUGGCUACUCGCACUCUCCCUUUUUCGGUUCAGGCUUCUUGCUGGGGUACUCUCAUCGAUGGACUCCACUCGAGGGUCAAUCUCGUCGUCUACGAAAAUGGGUCAAUCGAUCUCGGCCCUCUCCACACAAACAUCUGACUAAAAAAAAGCUCAAUCUUUACAUGUCCCUCCAUUGCUGGGGUUGUUUUAUUGCACUGUUGGGUUGCUUCAACUGUACUUGGAUCAGAGAACUUAUUCAAAAGCUUCCCAAGGGAGUCUGGAGAAAACAGCGGCUUCACUGUGUAAGUAUCCACCACGAAAAUUUGAUUUCAAUUUUGCCAAAGAUGAGGGGAGAAUGAAAAAUUGUUGGUCCUGACAUGAUGAUUGGUGACUGGAGAGGUUUCUAGAUUGGGGUGGGGGUGGUUUCUUUCAUGAUGUUGAUGAAUUUGGAGUACUGGUGGGUUUCAUUGAAUUGAGCGCUAACUGUACAAAGCUGGAGUGGCAGACAUCGUUGAGGCAUACAUUCUGUUUGCAGUGGCUGAGUUUAUGUGGUUGUCCCUGGACAGAAGUUGGUUUGGUUGUGCCUUUGCUUGCGUUGUUGGUCUUGCCUGCCCAUUGGCUGAGAUUCCUCUCAUGAAGUACUGGUCCUGUAGUUUUCAUAUAAUAUGUUGGAAUCGUUUAAUUUGCUUUGGAUGCUUUACUUGUUAACCUUCACAGUAAAAAUUUAUGAUAUUCUUAAAUGAUUGUGCAUUAAUUAGUAUUU